rnacentral:rRNA from 1 species
GGGGAAUAUUGGACAAUGGGGGAAACCUGAUCCAGCCAUGCCGCGGGGGUGAAGAAGGGCUUAUGGGUGUAAAGCACUUUAAGCGAGGAGGGGGCUCUUUUGGUUUAUACCCAAGAUGAGGUGAAGGUACUUGCAGAAUAAGCAACGGCUAACUCUGGGCCAGCAGCCGCGGUAAUACAGAGGGUGCGAGCGUUAAUCGGAUUUACUGGGCGUAAAGCGUGCGUAGGCGGCUUUUUAAGUCGGAUGUGAAAUCCCCGAGCUUAACUUGGGAAUUGCAUUCGAUACUGGGAAGCUAGAGUAUGGGAGAGGAUGGUAGAAUUCCAGGUGUAGCGGUGAAAUGCGUAGAGAUCUGGAGGAAUACCGAUGGCGAAGGCAGCCAUCUGGCCUAAUACUGACGCUGAGGUACGAAAGCAUGGGGAGCAAACA